rnacentral:rRNA from 1 species
AGAAGUUACAAAAGGGCGGACAGAGGAUGCCUAGGCUUCUAUGGGCGAGGAAGGACGUGGUAAGCUGCGUUAAGGUGCGGGGAUUUGCAAACAGGAGUUGAUCCGCACAUAUCCGAAUGGGGCAACCCACUUGACUGAAGGUCAAGUACUCAAGUAAUUGAGGGCCAACACAGGGAACUGAAACAUCUCAAUACCUGUAGGAAAAGAAAGAAAAAUCGAUUUCGUAAGUAGUGGCGAGCGAACGCGAAAGAGCCCAAACCGUUGUUGUUUCGGCAAUGGCGGGGUUAUAGGACUCCGAUAUUUGUUAUUAUGGUUAAAUGGAAAGAUUUGGAAAAAUCUGCCAUAGCGUGUGAUAGCCACGUACAUGUAAGCUGUAGUGAUAAUAGGAGUAUCCUGAGUAGGGCGGGACACGAGGAAUCCUGUCUGAAUUUGCGGGGACCAUCCCGUAAGGCUAAAUACCAAUAGAAGACCGAUAGUGAACCAGUACUGUGAAGGAAAGGUGAAAAGUACCCCGAACAGGGGGGUGAAAAAGAACCUGAAACUGUCCGCUUACAAGCGGUCGGAGCCACUUUGUGUGGUGACGGCGUGCCUUUUGCAUAAUGAGCCUACGAGUUACAUCUCACUAGCGAGGUUAAGGAUUUAAGGUCCGGAGCCGAAGCGAAAGCGAGUCUGAACAGGGCGGUUUAGUUAGUGGGAGUAGACGCGAAACCUUGUGAUCUACCCUUGACCAGGUUGAAGGUGCCGUAACAGGUACUGGAGGACCGAACCAGUUUCCGUUGAAAAGGAUUUGGAUGAGUUGAGGGUAGGGGUGAAAGGCUAAUCAAACUGGGAGAUAGCUCGUACUCCCCGAAAUGUCUUUUGGGACAGCCUCAUAGUUUAGCUUCAUGGAGGUAGAGCUACUGAUUGGAUGCGAGGGCUUCAUCGCCUAUCAAAUCCAGACAAACUCCGAAUGCCGUGAAGUGUAUCUAUGGGAGUGAGUCGCCGGGUGCUAAUGUCCGGUGGCGAGAGGGAAAUAGCCCAGACCAACAGCUAAGGCCCCCAAACGUGUGUUAAGUUGAAAGAACGAUGUUCGGUUGCAUAGACAGCUAGGAUGUUAGCUUGGAAGCAGCUAUUCAUUUAAAGAGUGCGUAACAGCUCACUAGUCGAGCGACUGAGCGUGGAUAAUAAACGGGCAUCAAGCACACUGCCGAAGCUAUGGACUUCAUGUAAAUGGAGUGGUAGGGGAGCAUUCUAGUCGGCGCAGAAGGGGUAUUGUGAGAUACCCUGGAGCGGUUAGAAAAGCAAAUGUAGGCAUAAGUAACGAUAAUGCAGGCGAGAAACCUGCACACCGAAAACCCAAGGGUUCCUGAUCAAUGCUAAUCAGAUCAGGGUUAGUCGGGACCUAAGGCGUAGCCGAAAGGCGAAGCUGAUGGACAAAUGGUUAAUAUUCCAUUACCUGUAUAUUAGGCGAAGGAGAGACGGAGUAGUGACACGCACGCGGCCUGACGGAAUAGGUCGUUAAAGUCCGUAGGUAAAGGGUUUGGUUAAUAGCCGGACACUGCUGAUGGACGACAGUACCGCAAGGCUUCGGCUGCGCGGAUAGUUGCGGUAAACAGACUUCCAAGAAAAACUUCUAGCGAUAAGCAAUAUACAGCCCGUACCGUAAACCGACACAGGUGGGUGAGGAGAGGAUCCUCAGGUGCUCGAGUGAAUCAUGGCUAAGGAACUCGGCAAAUUAACCCCGUAACUUCGGGACAAGGGGUCCCUCGUGUGAACGAGGGCGCAGAGAAAUGGCCCAGGCGACUGUUUAACAAAAACACAUGGCUUUGCUAAAUCGCAAGAUGAAGAAUAAGGCCUGACACCUGCCCGGUGCCGGAAGGUUAAGAGGGGAUGUUAUUCGCAAGGAGAAGCAUUGAAUCGAAGCCCCGGUAAACGGCGGCCGUAACUAUAACGGUCCUAAGGUAGCGAAAUUCCUUGUCGGGUAAGUUCCGACCUGCAC